GACAGAGGGUGCAAACGUUGUUCGGAAUUACUGGGCGUAAAGCGCGUGUAGGCGGCCCUGCAAGUCGGGUGUGAAAGCCCUCGGCUCAACCGAGGAAGUGCACUCGAAACUGCAGGGCUUGAGUCCCGGAGAGGAUAGUGGAAUUCUCGGUGUAGAGGUGAAAUUCGUAGAUAUCGAGAGGAACACCGGUGGCGAAGGCGGCUAUCUGGACGGUGACUGACGCUGAGACGCGAAAGCGUGGGGAGCAAACAGG
rnacentral:rRNA from 1 species